CUGGAAACAGAGAAGUGCUUUAGCAAUAAAGAACCCGGUGACAGGUGCUGCAUGGGCUGUCGUCAGCUCGUGUCGUGAGAUGUUGGGUUAAGUCCCGCAACGAGCGCAACCCUCGCCUUUAGUUGCCAGCAUUCAGUUGGGCACUCUAGAGGGACUGCCGGUGUCAAACCGGAGGAAGGUGGGAUGACGUCAAGUCCUCAUGGCCUUUAUGUCUAGGGCUACACACGUACUACAAUGGCCGGUACAAAGGGCAGCCACUCAGCGAUGAGGCGCUAAUCCCAUAAAGCCGGUCUCAGUCCGGAUCGCAGUCUGCAACUCGACUGCGUGAAGUUGGAAUCGCUAGUAAUCGCGGAUCAGCAUGCCGCGGUGAAUACGUUCCCGGGCCUU
rnacentral:rRNA from 1 species